UAAUUGAAGAGUUUGAUCAUGGCUCAGAUUGAACGCUGGCGGCAGGCCUAACACAUGCAAGUCGAACGGUAACAGGAAGCAGCUUGCUGCUUUGCUGACGAGUGGCGGACGGGUGAGUAAUGUCUGGGAAACUGCCUGAUGGAGGGGGAUAACUACUGGAAACGGUGGCUAAUACCGCAUAAUGUCUACGGACCAAAGCAGGGGCUCUUCGGACCUUGCACUAUCGGAUGAACCCAUAUGGGAUUAGCUAGUAGGUGGGGUAAAGGCUCACCUAGGCGACGAUCUCUAGCUGGUCUGAGAGGAUGAUCAGCCACACUGGGACUGAGACACGGCCCAGACUCCUACGGGAGGCAGCAGUGGGGAAUAUUGCACAAUGGGCGCAAGCCUGAUGCAGCCAUGCCGCGUGUAUGAAGAAGGCCUUAGGGUUGUAAAGUACUUUCAGCGGGGAGGAAGGUGAUAAGGUUAAUACCCUUGUCAAUUGACGUUACCCGCAGAAGAAGCACCGGCUAACUCCGU
rnacentral:rRNA from 1 species